CGAAGGCUACCAUGAAGUAAACUACUCAAGUAAACACAAGUGAAAGAAGUAAGGUUAUAGUUAACACAAGUGAAAGAAGUAAUGUUAUAGUUAACCCAAGCACGCGGAUAUAUGGCGAUGUUCAACUUACGAAAUGGACUACUUUGUAUGCUCAGUUAUGUAGUGUUUUUCCAGAUUGUACUUUACGAGGGAGUUUUGCAUGCUGCGGCAAGGGUUAAGCACAUUGGCCUUCAAAAGAAAAAAAAAGGUUAAGCACAUGCCUGUCAGCCAAGAUUGUUUUAAUUAUGCAAUUUGUUCCUUUGUCCAUGUACAUCCACCUCUAUAACUUUUGGAAUGCAGUACUUACGUAGCAAAAUAAAUUCUGCACACCG
rnacentral:lncRNA from 1 species